AAAAAAUUAAUGGUCCUCAAAAUAUCGUUCUUUAUUUAUUUUCUUACACGUCUUUCAUACUUCUUUCUCGUUUACCCUAAGGUCCACAAAAAUUUGCUCUUCACGUCUUAAUUUUUCGUUAUUAUUUCCUUUUCCUUUCCUUCAUCGGAGAAGUAUACACCCCUACCACCUCCAUCACCUCAUUCCCCUUCUUCUUCAUCAUCUUCUUGUUCUUCUUGUGUUAUUCUCCUUCUUCAUAUCAUAUGAUGUCUGUCUAAGGCGACACCAUCAAAGUUAAGGUUUGAUAACAAGUUCAAUUUUGUUUGCCCAUCGGCUUUUCCCGAAAUUCUUACCAGUACCAUCACUCGAUCAUCGUUCCAAAUUCAUUUCCGACAUUAGCAGAGUCAAUUGGCGAUUGGAAUUUGGAGACAAAGGUAACCAAGUUGGUUAACUGUGCAUAACCUUAACUUAAUAGCGGCGACUACCUUAUACCAUAAAAAUAGAAUCAGGUUAAAGGGUGUCCAUUACAUUGGCAAAGUGAGUUCUGAUGAGGUUGAUUCUUCAUUUCUUUAGGGGUGCCAAAAGUUUGAGUUGAUCCAAUCUACCAACGGGUUAUACUCUAAUGCAGGUGCGGAAGCACAGCAGACUUCCCCUGGAUGAAGCCACCCCCAAAAUUACUGAGAAUCAAAUUUGAAGUAGUAAAAGUUGGCCCAGAACCCUCAAGCCCGGGUGAAAAUACCGUCGAAUUUGAAGUAGUAAAAGCAAUUCUUCCAUAUGUGUUUCAGUUUCUCAAUCUUUGGAUCAGAUUUGUUUUUGUUGCUGAAGCAGUUCAUUCUUUUGAAGUAACACACAUAAUCAUUGUACCAUGUAUCUUGAUCUGCUUAUUUCUUGGAUAGCGGAUGUAGCAAUUUUUUUUUACACCGCAUACCACGUGACCAUUCACUCAUUACAUAUGCUUGUGAAUCUUGAAUUAAGGAUGCAACAAAAUUUCUUACAUUGGUGAUGGACUUGUGUCACUAACUUGCAAGCAUUUUCACUGUGAAUUAUAACUGCUCGUUUGUGUACAGCUCAGAUUAUAAUUGGAGAAAUACUUUCCAGUUUUGGAUUUAGUAAUGCGGAAAUGAUCAGCUCCAUUUUCCUUAGCUGUUAUAUACCAAGCUAGGAAGAAGGAACAGUGACCACAAUAGCCUAAGAGUCCCCUUUUGUUGCCCAACCGUUUUUAUUAUUUUUUUAUUUUUUAUUGGGUUUUCAUUUUUCCUUUAUCGAGUUCAUUCUUCUUUUCUCA